rnacentral:rRNA from 1 species
GACAGAGGGUGCAAACGUUGCUCGGAUUUACUGGGCGUAAAGCGUGCGUAGACGGCUAUCUAAGUCGGGUGUGAAAGCCCCGGGCUCAACCUGGGAAUUGCAUUCGAGACUGAAUAGCUAGGGUACGGUAGAGGGAAGCGGAAUUUCCGGUGUAGCGGUGAAAUGCGUAGAUAUCGGAAGGAACAUCAGUGGCGAAAGCGGCUUCCU